rnacentral:rRNA from 1 species
UGGGGAAUUUUGGACAAUGGGGGAAACCCUGAUCCAGCCAUCCCGCGUGUGCGAUGAAGGCCUUCGGGUUGUAAAGCACUUUUGGCAGGAAAGAAACGUCAUGGGUUAAUACCCCGUGAAACUGACGGUACCUGCAGAAUAAGCACCGGCUAACUACGUGCCAGCAGCCGCGGUAAUACGUAGGUUGCAAGCGUUAAUCGGAAUUACUGGGCGUAAAGCGUGCGCAGGCGGUUCGGAAAGAAAGAUGUGAAAGCCCAUAGCGCAACUUUGGAACCGCAUUUUUAACUACCGGGCUAGAGUGUGUCGGAGGGAGGUGGAAUUCCGCGUGUAGCAGUGACAUGCGUAGAUAUGCGGAGGAACACCGAUGGCGAAGGCAGCCUCCUGGGAUAACACUGACGCUCAUGCACGAAAGCGUGGGGAGCAAACAGG